rnacentral:rRNA from 1 species
AAUCUUCCACAAUGGGCGAAAGCCUGAUGGAGCAACGCCGCGUGAGUGAAGAAGGUUUUCGGAUCGUAAAACUCUGUUGUGAGGGAAGAACAAGUACAGAAGUAACUGGCUGUACUUUGUCGGUACCUUAUUAGAAAGCCACGGCACACUCCGUGUCAGCAGCAGCGGUAAUACGUAGGGGGCAAGCGUUGUCCGGAAUUAUUGGCCGUAAAGCGCGCGCAGGCGGUCCUUUAAGUCUGAUGUGAAAGCCCGCGGCUCAACCGUGGAGGGUCAUUGGAAACUGGGGGACUUGAGUGCAGAAGAGGAAAGUGGAAUUCCAAGUGUAGUGGUGAAAUGCGUAGAGAUUUGGAGGAACACCAGUGGCGAAGGCGACUUUCUGGUCUGUAACUGACGCUGAGGCGCGAAAGCGUGGGGAGCAAACA